rnacentral:lncRNA from 1 species
GCCGCUCUGGGCCGCAGCCCGGGCCCUGACUGCAUUUCCGCCGGCGCCCGAGCGAUGAAGGGCGGGUCCUGCAUCCGAGGCAUCCCCGAUCCAUCCAGCAUCUUCUCGCGCAGUCUUCUUCGACCCGCUGCCACAGUCCCGGCGCCCCAGGCCCUGCGCAGAUGAAGACCCUCCCCCGGACGGCUUUGCGGGCCCUGCCUCAGCCGGCGCCCCCUUCUCUCCUGCAGGACCCGGACCCGCACUGCAGGGGCUGAGUGCCCUCUGGUCGGCGUCUGAGUCUUGCCUCCCCGUAGGCUCAGUACCUGGCACGUGUCCAAGGCUCAGCAGCUGUACCACAACCACCCAACAGGAGAGAAGGAAAGGAGAGGUGCACCCCGGGGAUGUGGUGAGGCCAUCCCGUCAUGGGGAAUCAGAAAAGGACUGCGUCUUAGCCAGCCAGCUGGGGGAAGAGGAGGCAGCACCGGGCAGAGGGGCCCUUGAGAGAUGUCACCAUCCUGUUAAGAAAGGGCUGGACCACAGCGCUGCAGAGAUGAGUCCACGGUGUGCAGAGGCCGUCGUGGAAGUUGUCGUGUCAGCAGCGCUGUAGACCGCAGUGUCCUUGAGUGUUCAUUCUGACUCUUCUCUGGGAGCAUUGAGAUUCCUUUUUGAGCCAAGAUUGGUGUGGAAAAAAACACUGCAGCUCAUCUCUGACUAAUUGGGGACGCUUUCAUGGAUGUCACCUUAAAGAAAGAUGAGGGGUGCUGCUUUGGAAGAAGCCUCGGGGGUCAGAACCACUCGCCCUCUCAAGGUGAGGACCUGGGUCCCAGCUCCCCCGGAGGGUCCUCCUCAUGGUAUUUAGGGGCUGACCGCGGACACUGGCGUAGCAGCGUGAAGCAGGAUGUUGUCGCAUGACCAUCGCCAAACCUUUCUCUUCUGUUGCCUCAGCACAGCGUGGAAGGACUCUGCCCUCUGUGUGAACAGGGCAGAGGGGAAGUUCUGGGGCUCCAGGGACUUGGGGUUCAGAGCUGGAGACCUUCUACUGGCUCCCAGCAGGUGCCUCAGAACACUGCUGACCAGGAAGACUGUCUCUUCCCAUCUGGACCAGGUCAUCCCGUGGCUUCUGUGUCUCCCAUUUGCUCCUAGUAUAACUUUUUAGAACCAGGAGUUCCUGUUGGAGUCUUGUGUGCCGUGCAUCUUAUCUUCUCACCCACUUAAAUAAAUCUCGAAACUGCC